rnacentral:rRNA from 1 species
GCUACACAUGCAGUCGAGCGGUAGAGAGAAGCUUGCUUCUCUUGAGAGCGGCGGACGGGUCCCUUUGCCUAGGAAUCUGCCUGGUAGUGGGGGAUAACGUUCGGAAACGGACGCUAAUACCGCAUACGUCCUACGGGAGAAAGCAGGGGACCUUCGGGCCUUGCGCUAUCAGAUGAGCCUAGGUCGGAUUAGCUAGUUGGUGAGGUAAUGGCUCACCAAGGCGACGAUCCGUAACUGGUCUGAGAGGAUGAUCAGUCACACUGGAACUGAGACACGGUCCAGACUCCUACGGGAGGCAGCAGUGGGGAAUAUUGGACAAUGGGCGAAAGCCUGAUCCAGCCAUGCCGCGUGUGUGAAGAAGGUCUUCGGAUUGUAAAGCACUUUAAGUUGGGAGGAAGGGUUGUAGAUUAAUACUCUGCAAUUUUGACGUUACCGACAGAAUAAGCACCGGCUAACUCUGUGCCAGCAGCCGCGGUAAUACAGAGGGUGCAAGCGUUAAUCGGAAUUACUGGGCGUAAAGCGCGCGUAGGUGGUUUGUUAAGUUGGAUGUGAAAUCCCCGGGCUCAACCUGGGAACUGCAUUCAAAACUGACUGACUAGAGUAUGGUAGAGGGUGGUGGAAUUUCCUGUGUAGCGG